GUUGGGUAGGGGAGCGUUCUGUAAGCCUGUGAAGGUGGCCUGUGAGGGUUGCUGGAGGUAUCAGAAGUGCGAAUGCUGACAUAAGUAACGAUAAAGCGGGUGAAAAGCCCGCUCGCCGGAAGACCAAGGGUUCCUGUCCAACGUUAAUCGGGGCAGGGUGAGUCGACCCCUAAGGCGAGGCCGAAAGGCGUAGUCGAUGGGAAACAGGUUAAUAUUCCUGUACUUGGUGUUACUGCGAAGGGGGGACGGAGAAGGCUAUGUUGGCCGGGCGACGGUUGUCCCGGUUUAAGCGUGUAGGUGUGUGUUCCAGGUAAAUCCGGUUCACUUUAACACUGAGGCGUGAUGACGAGGCACUACGGUGCUGAAGCAACAAAUGCCCUGCUUCCAGGAAAAGCCUCUAAGCAUCAGGUAACAUCAAAUCGUACCCCAAACCGACACAGGUGGUCAGGUAGAGAAUACCAAGGCGCUUGAGAGAACUCGGGUGAAGGAACUAGGCAAAAUGGUGCCGUAACUUCGGGAGAAGGCACGCUGACAUGUAGGUGAAGUGAUUUACUCACGGAGCUGAAGUCAGUCGAAGAUACCAGCUGGCUGCAACUGUUUAUUAAAAACACAGCACUGUGCAAACACGAAAGUGGACGUAUACGGUGUGACGCCUGCCCGGUGCCGGAAGGUUAAUUGAUGGGGUCAGCGCAAGCGAAGCUCCUGAUCGAAGCCCCGGUAAACGGCGGCCGUAACUAUAACGGUCCUAAGGUAGCGAAAUUCCUUGUCGGGUAAGUUCCGACCUGCACGAAUGGCGUAAUGAUGGCCAGGCUGUCUCCACCCGAGACUCAGUGAAAUUGAACUCGCUGUGAAGAUGCAGUGUACCCGCGGCAAGACGGAAAGACCCCGUGAACCUUUACUAUAGCUUGACACUGAACAUUGAGCCUUGAUGUGUAGGAUAGGUGGGAGGCUUUGAAGUGUGGACGCCAGUCUGCAUGGAGCCGACCUUGAAAUACCACCCUUUAAUGUUUGAUGUUCUAACGUGGACCCGUGAUCCGGGUUGCGGACAGUGUCUGGUGGGUAGUUUGACUGGGGCGGUCUCCUCCUAAAGAGUAACGGAGGAGCACGAAGGUUGGCUAAUCCUGGUCGGACAUCAGGAGGUUAGUGCAAUGGCAUAAGCCAGCUUGACUGCGAGCGUGACGGCGCGAGCAGGUGCGAAAGCAGGUCAUAGUGAUCCGGUGGUUCUGAAUGGAAGGGCCAUCGCUCAACGGAUAAAAGGUACUCCGGGGAUAACAGGCUGAUACCGCCCAAGAGUUCAUAUCGACGGCGGUGUUUGGCACCUCGAUGUCGGCUCAUCACAUCCUGGGGCUGAAGUAGGUCCCAAGGGUAUGGCUGUUCGCCAUUUAAAGUGGUACGCGAGCUGGGUUUAGAACGUCGUGAGACAGUUCGGUCCCUAUCUGCCGUGGGCGCUGGAGAACUGAGGGGGGCUGCUCCUAGUACGAGAGGACCGGAGUGGACGCAUCACUGGUGUUCGGGUUGUCAUGCCAAUGGCACUGCCCGGUAGCUAAAUGCGGAAGAGAUAAGUGCUGAAAGCAUCUAAGCACGAAACUUGCCCCGAGAUGAGUUCUCCCUGAGACUUAGAGUCUCCUGAAGGAACGUUGAAGACGACGACGUUGAUAGGCCGGGUGUGUAAGCGCAGCGAUGCGUUGAGCUAACCGGUACUAAUGAACCGUGAGGCUUAACCUUACAACGCCGAAG
rnacentral:rRNA from 1 species